UCGGGAAUUUUGGGCAAUGGGCGAAAGCCUGACCCAGCAACGCCGCGUGAAGGAUGAAGUCUCUCGGGAUGUAAACUUCGUAAGAAUAGGAAGAAUAAAUGACGGUACUAUUUGUAAGGUCCGGCUAACUACGUGCCAGCAGCCGCGGUAAUACGUAGGGACCAAGCGUUGUUCGGAUUUACUGGGCGUAAAGGGCGCGUAGGCGGCGUGGUAAGUCACUUGUGAAAUCUCCGAGCUUAACUCGGAACGGUCAAGUGAUACUGCUGUGCUAGAGUACAGAAGGGGCAAUCGGAAUUCUUGGUGUAGCGGUGAAAUGCGUAGAUAUCAAGAGGAACACCUGACGUGAAGACGGGUUGCUGGGCUGAUACUGACGCUGAGGCGCGAAAGCUAGGGUAGCAAACGGGAUUAGAUACCCUUGUAGUCCCUGAGCGGGCUGGCAAGGCGCAU
rnacentral:rRNA from 1 species